ensembl:lncRNA
AAAUUUUUAUGAAGGUAAAUGGAUGUGUAAAUGUGUACGUUUUAUUCUAUAUGUAAAGAUAUUCAAUGACACAGAGUUUUCCCUUCUUCAGUGACAUGUUUCACCAACCAACAUGACUGCUGGAGGCUCACAGUCUCCAGACAAAUUCUGAGAGAUUCCUCUAUUCUCCAUGGUGGAAAUUUGACUCUAGUACAUUAGCAUACUAAUCUAAACAGGAGUCAAUUCAGCAAGGAAGUUGCUGCUCUCGCAGCCGGAGAUGACAGCCUGCACUUGGGAUGAUGACACUCAGCACAAAAAAAUUACACAAAAUAAACACAUUUCCCCUCCAAAGAUUGUGUGACCUAUAAUAAUCUAUAGUUUAUAAGAUUGCUUGAGCACAACAGGGGUGUGUUUAAGGUAUCAAACACAGUAAUGCUAGCUGUACUUAUGCUUGGCAUAACUACAGUAAUUGAGGUUGCAAUCUGGAAUUGAAAAGUGCAGUGUUCACUUGAUUUUCAUACAUGAUAAGCUCAGGUUUUAUGGAUGUUGAGUUGUUUCUUUUCAUCUAUGUCAGCUUUUCGAUACUUCAUUGAAAGUAUAUGUACAAGUUACUCCAUUAUCACAGGGAUUCACGUGGUGCUGCUGCUGCAACAGCCUCCACUCUUAUGGUUUCAGACUUUCCACCAAAUGUUAGUACCUAGAUGCAGGGUAAAUUGGAUUAUUUUUAAGUGGGGUUGAAUAAAUACUCCUGUUUUCUGUGGGUUAAAAUAAGUGUUUCUAUCACCAGAGCUUUUAAAGAAAGCCAUAUGCUGGCUUCAGUUCAGGUGAAUGUUAUAGUCACUAUUUCUACUACCUUAUCUCACCUUCAGACGGGUACCUGCAGUCAUUAUUCUUACUAUGACUUACUUCAAAGUUACAAUGGUCCAUUUUCAGAAACAUUUGUCAAAACACAAAUUUUACCUUGGAGAACAGCUCCCGUUCUAGGAUUUUCUACAUUCACAGCAGCGCAUCAAUCAAAGUGUCGAUUAGCUACUAAAAGGUACUUUAAGGAACUGGCUUACAUUAAAUAGAAGCACUGUUUUGACAAUGAAUUAGAAAUGAAGAGAUACUAAAUAAAAUCCCUACUUUAGUUUAAUUUAAUCCAUUCGUUUUUUGUCAUUAUGCAGCCAAACCUUGUGGGGUUAUUAGACUCCAAAGAUAUGGCUGCAGUGGUCAGAAAUAUAUAUAUUUUGUUUAUUAAAAACUAAUUGUUCCUACAAAUAUUUUGGCUUCCUUCCCAGAUCUGGAAAAUAAUCUCCAGCGAAAAGGUUCCUUUCCUUAAGCACAACAACAUUAUUGUAAUACAGCAAAAGAACGGAAAGAAAAAGGACUUUUGAACUCAACAUAAAGAGAUGUAAUUUUAGUACAUCCCUAUACGAUUCACAGGAUUUUUGAUGGGUAAAGGCUAGUAUCAUUGCAUGCAUUGAUGCAGGUUUUAUUUGAAAUAGCGUCAUUUCAGACAUUAAACAGACAGUAAGUAGGUUCAAGAAGUCAAAGUGUCAGGGAUGCAGGGAAGGCAGGACUCAAAAAGGGACUUCAAUGGUCAAAAACUCAAAAAGCAAAUAGGCAGACGGAAGCCAGGAACAUUCAACAAUGACGUGACAAGUGACAAGAGACACACAUGGCUUAAAUACACAAGGGAGGUGCAGAUGAUUGGACACAGGUGGAAACAAUCAGACAAUCAUAGGGGAUGACAGGACAAGGCAGGAAGUGAAGUUAACCAGGGAGACAAGAGGCAGAAAACUACAAAAUGAACCCAAACCGUGACAUAAAGAAGUCAUACAGUUUCCACAGUAACAAGAACGAUUAGAGUAGACGCAAUUGUGUUAUGAUUUUCAAUUUAAUUGGAUGUUUGGAAGUAACAGGGUAUAAGAGCUGCCUGACCCCGCCCCCCCCAACCUAUCCAGGGCUUAUGCCUUUCUAUCACCCUCCCAUUCCCCAACCCCCUCACCAGCAACGACCCUCUUUAUUCUGGAGAGAAACGUUAACAGGCUCUUUAAAAGACAAAACCCUCGCAAAGCAGCCGGUCCGGACUCAGUCUCCCUGACACCCUGAAGCAUUGUGCCCACCAGGGGCCUUAUGUACAAAGACUUGCGUGGAUUUCUUACUGGCUCAUGGCAUACGAUCAAAUCCAAAUGCCCUCCCACGCACAAAAAUAUCCGGACGUAUCAAUGUGUGCGAACACGUGAGUCCAAGCAAAUUUCCUUUGUACAUCCCAAUCAACAGGGAAUUGAGCGCACAAAUAUGCAAAUAAUGAGCCCUGCACCUGCGAUCCCCUCUCUGCAUGAUCAUAAAAGGUAGAAAAAAGGAAUGAGUAACAUGGAUUACUUUCUGAAGUGGAGGCAAAAAUGUGCUGUUUGCCGCUUAUUCCUGAUGAUAACAUGCCAAGCGUAAGAGGAGCGUGUGGGCGAGCGUGUGCUUGGCUCCUCGCUGUGCUGCGCUCCAACGCCGGCCAUAGCUCUGCACGUAGUUCGAGGAGGAUUGUCCUCGGGAACCCAAAGCGGCUGAUAAGCCAGUUGUCCUCAUGUGCAAGCAAAUCCUCUGUCUCUAAAUAUGUGCUAUCUCCUUAUUGCACAAUUUGCAAUGUCUUCUAGUAGUUCUAAAGCAGCCAUUGUUUUAAUAGUAUGCAGGGCGUACGACAGCCCUGAAGUUGGCGUGAGGCACUGCACAUUUCCACGGUCAUUUUGCUCUUGAUACAUCUGAUCAUUGACGUGAAAUCUCCCUGGAGAUAUACCACCAGUACCAGCCUGCUUCAAGGCCUCCACCAUCAUCCCUGUUCCCAAGAAGCCCAGGAUCACAGAACUUAAUGACUACAGGCCCGUAGCCCUGACCUCCUGUAGUCAUGAAGUCUUUUGAACGGCUAGUCCUGUCCCACCUGAAAAGCCUCCUGGACCCCCUGCAGUUCGCCUACAGCGCAAAUAGGUCUGUAGACGAUUCUGUCAACAUGGCCCUCCAGCUUCUGGACUCCCCAGGAACCUACGGCAGGAUCUCUGCCUUCAACACCAUUAUCCCGUCUCUGCUGCCAGACAAACUCUCUCAGCUACACGUGCCCGACUCCACCUGCAAGUGGAUCACUGACUUCCUGUCCGACAGGAAGCAGCACAGGAAGCCUCUCCGUCAAGCUCCUGAAGUUUGCGGAUGACACCACCCUCAUUGGACUGAUCUCUGGUGGGGAAUGAGUCCGCCUGCAGGUGGGAGUUUGACCAUCUGGUGUCGUGGUGCAGCCAGAACAACCUGGAGCUCAACGCUCUAAAAACAGUGGAGAUAGUGGUGUAUUUCACGAAGAAAGCAGUCCCACCUUCCCCAUUCACCCUGUGUGACCCCGUAAUUGCUAUGAAUUCCUUCCGUUUCCUGCUCCAUCAUCACACCUGACCUCAAGUCAGCUCAACUAAAAGCAGCCGACCCCUAUUCCCCCCGGUCAAAAAUGGGUUGUGCCCCUUCCAUCUGGCAGGAGGCUGAGGUCCAUCAGAACAGUUUCUUCCCGUCGGCAGUCAGUCAACAGCGCCCGGGUCUGACUGACUCCGACAUCCCACCCGUCACUCCCUUCACGCUCCACAUGCACAUACACUUGUCACUUUCUGUUCCAUGGUGCACUUUAUUUUUUUUUAAACUUCUUUAACAUUUCCUUUUUAAUUUAAAUUACUAUUGCAAUGUUCUUGCACUAUGUUGUCUUAUCUGUCCAUUGUCUUGUCUGAUGUUAUGCACCAACCGCCAAGUCAAAUUCCUAGUAUGUCUAACAUAUUUCAGUGAUAAAUGUUCCUGAUUCCUUCAAAACCAGAGGUUCUUUAUCAUUUAUGCAUCAAUCCGUGCAGUGUACUUAUUCAAUCAUAACAUAUUUAGAGACUACAAAGUGUUACUACAAGUAAACACUGGAGAGUCCGUCAAGAAUACUAAAACAUAGACGUAAUAUGAUAUUCUGUGUUAAUGCUAACUCUUGAGUGUGGUAUCUCCAUCCAGCCAGAAAGACGCUCUCUAAUCUUAGCCUCUGUUUCAGUAAUGAGACAGCCAGAGAGUGGAUGUGGUGCAGCCGCAUCUGACGCAACACUGAGAUGGACAACAACUCUGAGCAGCUGAUCAGUUUCUGUUUAUAGGAAACGCAAUACAUGCGGCUUUCUGUCCAACCCAUUCUCAUUCCCAAGUUGUCACGAAACACUUGGUACGGGCCCUUUGGCGUCCUCAAUGCCGUCCAACCAGAACAUACUGUGUCUGUAUGAGAUGCACUUCCAAGUAAGUGUUAAAUUAGAUGGUCAGAUCAAAUGAUGCUUGGACGUAUUGGCAGAGAGAUUGGACAGGUUGAAUAGGCAGAAUUGUAACCCAGAAGGCCUCAUUUUAAAAUUGACUACUUUUCACUUUCUUUUGUCAAGUAGCCUACGCACUGAAUGUCUAAUCCAGUAACUGUAUUUCCUAAACCGGGGGGGCAACAGUGGGUGGGUGGGGAGCACGGUCGUCCUCCAAUCAGAGGGUUGUCGGUUCGAUCCCAGGCCAGGCUAUCCCGCAUGCUGUUGUGUCCUUGGGCAAGACACUUAACCCAACAUUGCUCCUGUAGCUGCGACUACAGUGUGUGAACCGUAGUUACUGAUGGCAGGUGUCACCGUGUAUGGUUCUCCUGUCAUCAGUGUAUGAAUGGGUGAAUAAUGUCAUGUAGUGUUAAAGCGCUUUGAGUGGUCAGAAGACUAGAAAAGCGCUAUACAAGUACAGGCCAUUUACCAUUUAAACCCAAUCUAAAUUGUUUUGUUGCAUAAAUUGUGGCAGACCAGGGUGAAAAGGUAAGCAGGUAAUGCCCAGGGUGUCAAUCCCCAAGUUCAGGUGGGGGGAGGUAUUACUACUAAUACAGGGUGUACUACCCAGUGCAGGGUCUGCAGCAAAUGAGCACAUGGCAUUGGUCAUUCCUGCUGACCAUCAACCAGAUUACAGAGAUUAUAUAUAUUGACAGGGCUGGGAAGAAGCAAGAAGAGGACUGACUGAACCGGAGAAGACGACAAAGAUCACCUAAAUGGCUCGAGGAGUGCGAGAUUAAACAGGAAGUAAUCUAGUCAAUUUACUUUUCUCUUUUGUUCUGUCCACACAAGACGAGUGAUCGCGCACCAAAGACCCGACUGAGAGGAACGUUUGUUAGAUUUGACCACAUUACCCGUACCUUUAAAUAAAGGACUUUUUAUUAAAUGAUUCAUGUCUCGGAGUCUCCUAUUUUAUUCUGGAAUCUUUCCUUGAUGUUCUCUGGAUUGUAAAACCUGAAACAACAAAUUAAACUCGUGAUGGAGGUUCAUUUGAAUUUGCAAUCAAAAUGCAAAAUGUUAUUAGCAAUGUACAAAUAAUUGACCAUGUAAAGCAAUCAUGCCCAUGGUUUAUAGUCAAGUCGAAACCUGACCAUGACUACAAAAUAACCCAAUAAGGAAACAGACACAACAGCACAUGAACGCACACAAGGAAACAGACACAACAGCACAUGAACGCACACAAAGCCUUUAACCACUCUUGCUCUGACGCCUUUAUGAUUUUGCCACAAAUCCCUCAUUGUGAGCAACCGCGGAUGAGUGGAGAACAUGGCCGUCCGCCAAUUAGAGGAUUAGCAAUCCCAAAUCGUGGACCUCCUAACCCGCUUGCGAUGUGUCUUUGGACAAGACACUUAACCCCAACACUGCUCCAGUAGCUGUGACAACUGUGUGUGAAUGCUAUGUACUGAUGGACAGGUGGCACUGUCUAUGGUAGCUCCUGUCAUCAGUGUGUGAAUAAUAACAUGAAGUGUUAAAGCUCUUUGAAUGUUGAGAAGACUAGAAAAGCGCUGUACAAGUACUGUCCAUUUACCAUUAUUCUGCAAUAAGAUCCAAAUUAAUCUUGUAGGACAAACACCCCCUUCUAUCCCAGAGGCUUCCCCAGCCAAUUCAUGACGUGUAUGUAACAGUCACUGCCCCUUUUUUUAGCUGUACUGCCCUACUUCCGUACUGAUAUGAUAUAAUUCAUGCGAUGAAAGGGACAGGGCAGCAGUGCCGGCCCUCCCCUGGAAAAGUAUCAUCAGUUAACACGUCAUGUGGACCUAAUUUAGGCUGCUGUGUCAGAAAGAACAGUUAGGCUUUAGCAUCCCUGCAGAGGUUAUUAAGUGGCACACUACAGAGCGUUGCACUGACGGCUCCCGGGUGACACAAAAAAUACUUUUGAUACAUCCCCUAAUGAAAGCCGUCUAUGCCUUCACUGUGAAAUGUGAAUACGUCCAGUGGACAGUCUCAUUAAUAUUUCAAAGGAACUGUGAAGCUAGACUGCACAGUGUGUCUGAGACACAGGCACAAACCUGGAGCCACAGUUCUAAUCAAAAACAACAUCCAUAUUGUCAUAGAGUUGAAAGACGACAUGUACAACACAAGAAGCCAGUUUACAAGCUCAUUUUAAAUCAAAUAAAAGUUGAAAUGAUUACUGCGGACUGGGGGAAAAGUGGUUCUCAGACAGGCCCACUCAAUGCAUUGCACGUGUCAAUCUGUCAGUGGCCUUCUUGAGAAAAUACCCAUACACUUAAAUUAUUUUGGAUGAUUACAAAGAAAUCGCAAAGAAAUGUUUUUUUCAAGUAACAUUUAGAUGCAUCAAUUAGCCUGGAUAGACACACGGGAUAAAAUAAUACUGCCUGUUUUUCUACAAUGUCAUCGGACAUUUAGAUUUUCCUGCAAUCUGCAAAAUAAUUUCGCCAUGAAUUUGUUUGUUGGGAGAGAAGGAGCAUCUUUUGGAACAAUGGCCGAUGUAUUUAAGAUAUUGAGCUGUUUUACAAGCUUUCGGCCCAGUGACUAAUAGGGGUUUUGGAAUAAAAGAGCCAUUGGAGCCAAUGUCAGCUUGCCUGCAACAGCGGUUCACUAACUAUCCCGGCAAUUAUAGAGACCACCUCCAGACAUUGGUUCUGAAUAUUUGGUUCUAGUGACAUCCAGUCACUAGAACCAAAUAUUUUGUAAUGCAACUUUACAUGAAUACGGCCCAUUUUUUAAUUAACUCUUAAGUAGUCUGUGCUAACACUAACACCACACGCUUCAUCCGUGUUUUUCCAUGGCUGCCACUUUCUCUUCACCUCAUGUAACCUAUACCUUUGCAGCACCAGCAUUUUAAUCCGGCUUCUCCCUGAGGAGGUCUUGGGCUUGACAGAUCACCGAGGUAACCUCCGUGUUCUUGAACCUGUCAGGUCAUCACUAAGGUUUACUGUAGCGGCAUAACAGUAUGUGCCCUCCGCCUCCUCGGUCACUGGCAGCAGCCCGGGACAAAACCAGGAGUGAUAAUGAUGUGAAAAAGUGCCCUGACCUUGGGAUUAUGGGGAUCAUUGCCCUCGUCUCCCAGGGCAACAGCUGGCGUAAAUCUCACUUCACAUCUUUGCUCAGCAAACUCCAGAUUCUGACAGAUGAUGGAACCUCAGUGGGCUCCGAAGCUGCCAUCGCGUUCUUUUCAACACACCACUGUACUCAUCUGUCCUUUAUGCAUUUCAAUCCGGAGACACUUGUUGAAAUUUUAACAGUGCUUUAUUAUAACAGGCAUAAAUAUUUAUAUUGCAAAGUUGUUUGGGGCUUGGACUCCAUCCUGCCAUAGGAUAGACCAGGGGCCGGGAUGCCGAGAUGAAAUGACAACUGACAGCAAAAGAGAGGAGAACAGUUUUUAACGUUUGCCUGCACCGUACUACCCGCCCCUAAUCAGCUGGCCGUGCGCCCCCAGGGAACGGCACAGCCUGUCCAGGCUUCCUGACUGAAUUUUCGCCUAAGCUUCAUUUAAUGGAGGAUGUUAACAAGAGAAGGUACUCCGCCCCCUCAUUGAUUUUGGACCUUUCUAAUGCAAAGUCAAAUAUGCACUUUUUGGAAGCACCCAACCAAUCAACUUUGUGGCAGAGUAGCAGGCUGUUGGCUGGACAACUUGAGCCUAAUAUAAUAGAGAAGGGAUAGACAUGGGACUGCGCCGGAUUUUAAAAAUGGGGUUUUACUAAAUGGAAUAUACUGAAUUGGAGGAGGAAAUUAUAUUUAUCCGCUCAUAUUCUGUAUAUUGUAUAUAUUGUGCAGUUUACAAAAUCCCCCAAAAAAUCCCAAUACUUAAUUGUGAACAAGAUGUCUUCUUUUUGGGUCCCCGGAGAAAAUUAAAUAAAUAAUUCCUGUCACCGAUACAUUUGAAUUCAGGACCUCUCUGACUGCAUACAUGUGAAAAAUAAUAUAAUAAACAUAUCAAUUUUCACAGUAAAGUAAAAUUCCCCAAAAGUGUAUUCAACUAAGCCCCAUGCGGUCUAGAGUUGAAUAGGUGAACAAAAUAUUUGAUGUGCUGAUAUAACCAAGCAACCAAAUACCUCCAAAUGACAAGUGUUUUUGCUCUGACUGUCGCUUAUUAUCUGGUCUCAUCUCGUAAAGUACUGUACUGUCGCAAAACAAACAAUUUUGAGGAAACGAUCAAUGAGAUCCAAUAUGGUGCAAUCCGAUGAAACAUCAUUCCUUGGUUGGUGUAAUACAACCGGGUGACCUUUGCAAAAAUGGGUGUCAUCGUGUUCUACUUUCUUUAAAAAACUCACCAAGCAUAGUGGACAGUACAUGGUGUGUGUGUAACUAGCAGUGACUCUUUCUUCACUUCCACAGUGGAGGUAAUAUAUGGACCAGCUUCAACAGCCACGGUAGGUUGGAGAGAAGGUGCUGUGGGCUGACCUAAAAGGUCCACAGGGAUCACAAGAGUCAUUACCCACUGUCUGCAUUGAUCUGCCCGCUGUUGCUCUCCCAUAUCACCGUGUUGAGUUAGAAUUUCAUUACCAGCUCCGUUUGCCUCCCUGUGUAUACUGUGUGCGGUAUGGGGCAUUCAAGGAUAUAUACUCUAUACAUACACUCUGCCCUAGAAGUGUUUACUACAGGUACAACUCCUAGUUCUCUCCAAUGUCUCUCAGGAGCACAAUUAAUAUCUGUCUCGCCGCAUACACAAUCUUCCAUAGCAUCGACACAAGGCAAGGCGAAGGCAAUGCCGGUGAGGGGGCACAAAUUACUGUGCAACAUGUGCGGUUACAAUUUUCUGCAAUGUACCUCAAGGGUCCUGCACUGAAACUCACCUCUCAAAAGGAUCAGCUCUGAAUGUGUGUGCUUAUAGAAAGUGUUGUUUCCUGUAUACUUGGUUUGAUAAUUUGGCAUCACUGCCCACUAAUUGUUUAUUUGCUGCUUUAUCUUGAGUUCAUAUGUCCUUCAGACAGCUCGUCAAAGCCAAUAUACUCCAUUGACAGACUACAUAAAUCGUAUAGAAAAUUAUAUUGAUUUCUUUAGGUGGGCCUCACUUUCAGGUGUGUAAGAUACACAAUGCAGGUCAUUGCUUUGCUCACCUGCUGAUACUACUGUCUGCCUAAGACACUGACUACGGAUAAGAAUCAGGAAACAUUUUUUGUCUUGGCGGUUGUUGCAUGACGGUAGACAGUGUAACAAUAGACAACAAGACAGCAGUGCACAAGUAAUAAAGUUUACCCAAUUCUUGCAUGCUUCGACCAUUUUCUCUAGACCUAGCAUCAAAAGCUACGCAAGCCUCACGCAGCCCGUGAUUGGUCUGCUAACUACAUCCUACAUCGGAGUCUCACAUUUCCGGUUUCAUAGCACAAUAUCGCCAUUAUUAAAACAAAGAUUUUUUUACGAGAGAACGGAUCAGAUUGAAGAGCUUUUGUCGGAAGAAAUCUGUAAAUAUGACCACUUCUACAACCCGUCAUUGGCGGACUAUAAGGACUCCAAUUCAUGAAGGGAGAUCUCCACAAACAACGUUUUGCCGGUUGAGAGGUGCAAAGUUGUGGAGGAAAACACGGGACAAAUGUGUCCUUGAUGAAAAGCAGCAGUGGCGAUGCACAGGGCAAUAAAGUCUAUGAUAAAUAAAUAAACAAACCAACGACUUCUACACAAAGACGUGACUCUUGUUGUCUUCAACAAAACACGUUACUCCACCGAUUGUUCUGGCGGUGAAUUACUUUGCAACACAUGCAAGCCUUUUUGAACUGGGAAUUAAUACGAGUGCGACGCCGCAACUGCACGUAAAGACGCAGAAGCAUGCGCCAGCCUUUACGCUUCUUCACGUCCGUUGAAAAUUUGCUUCCUCCGCAACCUGUGCAUUGACUUGACUUUGCAUGGAAUCUACUCACGCAAAUAAUUUGCUUCCCUUUUCAUGUAAACGCAGCAUUAACCAUUUGACCUCUCAAAGUCGUGACCCUCAAACACAGACUGGUCAAUCACAGUGCAGCUCCAACCAUCUUGGACCAGUGUAAUUACAACUCCCCGCCUCUGCUCCAUCUAUAGAUUGUCUUCAUUUUCAUGCUGGUUAUGUGGAUUUGGAGUUAGUGAUGAAUAAACUGUGUAAUACGGAUACUGACCUGGAGAUGCUGUAGGGAAUUUGUCUGCUUUGUGAUUCGUUUGUAGUUGUAUUUUCUCUGAGACAAAAAUGACCCCACUAGAUUAACCUACUGGUUCAACGUGAAGCGUGUCUUAAUUUCAAACAUAAUGCAAACUGAUGAACACCAUGCAAGAUUAGACUACAGCUCAGGCUUUGAAACAAUUGAGGUGCCAAGUAUCAGUGAGAACAAAAUAAUAAUCCAUGUGAUGAUGGAGGCCUUUUAUAACCAACAGGCACAGAGCGGCCAGAGUUGCUGAUUAAUGAAAAGCUGCAUCUUGUGCUGCGAUCAAUGUGACGCAUGGUUUUAUGCCUUGUCCGUGCGUGUCCCAAACACACGCACAUUCAUAUGGAUCUGUCAGGGUCCCAUGUGGUCAGAAGUGAAGUGGGUCGAUGGUGGCGCAUGGAGUAGAGAGGGUGCGCCGGGAACCACAAGGUUGGCAGUUUGAGCCCUGGCUGCUCCAUGUCCCAUGUCGAAGUGUCCCUGAGCAAGACUACAAUCUGCCAUGGCAUAUGCGUAUCUGGAGGGAAAAAGUGUUGUAUAACGAACAGUCCACACGGUGAUCUGCCAAAUUCCAUAUUGUGUUGACUGCAGCCAAAAUGGGAAAGGCAUAAAUAAGGUGUGACUGCACUCCUGUUCACACCUCCCAAGACCUCAAGAAUAUUUGCUACAUGGAGAAAAAUGACAAGCAACAUGCUGCGUAGAAAUCAUUUCCAAAGCCAAGGCAGGUGCAGUGAAUGCAGGAAUAAUUGCACCAUCGGAGCGUUUCUAGGUGCACCUGGCGUUGCGCCUUCAGCUUGUUGCGAUGUUGUUAUAAAGCGAAUGACUAGUGUACGGGGAAAUGUGAACAACUUGGCUAUCCGGACAGGACGGGGCAUCGCAGUUCACUGACAAUUUCCUUUCCUUCUGAAGUGUUAUACAGUAGCAGUAGGAGGUGGUGAUGGGCUGCACAGUUGUAUUAAAACUUUGUUCGACCGGUUUCUUACAAACAGAAAUCUAAUAAUUAUGGAUCAGCGUGCUGACAUUUUAUAAUGUUGGCUAAGCCAAUCAACUAUUUCGCUAAGGUAACCAUUUCUGUUGCAUGAAUCCAACUGUGACUGGCUCACAAUGUUUAAUAUUUAUUUUGCCUAAACCUAACCACAACCGUUCCACAGCAUUAACCGUUACAAUGUUAAAUCAUUGUGUCAUAAACUUAACCAAAAUUGUUACACAAUGUCAACCCCUUGUUACAACAUAGGCAGUCUCAAAAUGGUGAAAGCCCAAAACACUUAACAGUGUAAACCUUCUACGUCAUGACACUGUGGAGGGUUGGAUGUUCUGCACAAAGGGUGUAAUGUAAUUAAUGGAUCUCAAAAUGUCUUUCACUAUAAGUUACUAAAAAGGUAACCACAACACUCCAAAGUAUAACUGCUGUGUUUAGAUUAUGCUGCACAAACUGCACACACACAAUCUUCACACGGCCUCAGGUGUUCUCAACCACUGGGAAUCCAAUCAUGACAAAAACAAAACCAAGCAGUUUUAUGAAAAUCUUUUGGUGACAUUUCAAGACAUGAAUCAUUAAAGUGCAUUACAAGCACAGAGAAGACAAUGUCACCCAAUUGUCACAGUUUGGGUUCACGUCUUGUUUUAUUUUGUAGUUUCAUGCCUGUGGUGCUCCUGGGUUAACUCCACCUGCCUUGUCUGCCGUGUCCAUGAUUGUUUCCACCUGCGUCCGAUCACCUGCACCUUCCCAGUGUAUUUAAGGCAUGUGUGUCGCUUGUCCCUUGUUGAGUCAUUGAUUGUUCACUACUGAAUGUUUUCAUGCUCGUGAUUAGUGUCUUGUUCCUGGUCCCCGCCUGCGUUUUUGCCCCCUUGGCAUUUUUGAUUUGGAUUUUGACGAUUAAAGUCUUGUUUUCAAACUCUGCGUUCGGGUCCUGCCUACCCCGAUAACUGUCUGUGGAGGUCAUGGUUUGAAAAUUGUGCAAAUAAAAAAAGGAAUGAAAAAAACAAUCAGAUUGUUUUAAUGCAGCAUGAGUAAGGAAUUGGACACAAAAGAGGCUUUGAUUGUAAAAUAUUUUGCUUCUUUUUAUUUAGUCUUUCCAGCAGCAUGUACGGUUCAAGGCCAGAAUAUGAGAAAAGACUGCGUGCUAGAGGCUUUGUGUAGCUCUCCCACUCUCCUCCUUUAUCUUGCUUUCCUCUCGCCCACACUUGUACAAGCAUUCGAUUUAUUGGAAAGAUCAGCGAAAUUAAACUGCCAUUACUACCUAGCCUAACCUCAACAAUGAUGUUUAAACAAGGUACGUAACCAACAAUCUGAGGUGAAUGGCUGUCUGCUAUUUCUUUGGAGCUAAAUGUCUAAAUCUAAAAAGUGUUAUUGUUAGUGGGAAACAAAGACUAAAGAUUCUCUCUGACCAAUAAGUGAUCUGCAGUAUUAAAGUAAGAGUUUGACACAAAUAAACAUAUACAAUCUGCAUUUUGCUUAUGGAAAACAUGAAAAAAGCAGCUCUGAAGAGUCAAGUAGAGCCGCAAUUAACAAAAUGUAUGUAUGUACCAUUAAUGUAAUAAACUUCUAGUUCUUACUGAAUAGCAUACAUCUCGUUAGGGAUUUAUGGACGGUGAGCAAGUGAUGAAAUAUUGUAUAUUUAGCCACUGUUAAUGUGUACAAACAAACCCACCACCUGCAGAGAGGAAAGUGUUACCAGGGCCUCUCUGAGACACUGUGAUAUAACACCAGGUUGUGGAGGUGCGGGAUGCAGCCGGGCAAAGAGAAGUGUACCUGCUGUUCUAUUAACAAACCUCAUUUGAAUAACGUGCUAAUGAAGGUAAACAAGUUAAUUUUUAUAAAAAAGAGAGAGAGAGAAAACAUACAUGUCCAAACUUUGACAGCAUGAAAACCGCAACAUCGUUAAUGUGUAGCUCGCUGCACUUAAAGGUAAUUAUUUCACUCUAGUCACUACUCUAAAGUAAUUGACUAGAACAGAAUACUGAGUGAAUUAUGCAAAACGACGUUCAAACCUUGCAUUGUUGCAUAAGUGUUUAGUUGUUAAAGUGUGGUGUGUUUUUUUAACUAUAAGCCAGAGGUGGAAAUGCUCCAGCUGAGAGAAAAAUGCAUUUAAAAAGGACAGUUGAUACUUUCUCACUAAACAAUUUGGAGAUAUAUUCCAUUUCAUAACUCGGAUUAUCUCCUCACGGAGAGCUAAAUCAAUCUCAUUGACUACCACUGUGGAAAUAUGACUGCCUCAGCUCCUUCUGAGUGGCUCAAAACAGCCCAGAGCUCAACAGGAGGGAGCCAAACCAUGUUAACCCACUGAAGAGGCACCGUGGAUAUAAAAAAAAGAAAGCCUUUUUGACAAAACCUUCAGGCUCUUACGCAAUGUUUAUAUUGUAUCUCCUUUGUAACUGUGAAAAAGUCUAAAACUGAUGCAGCAGGGUUUCCAAUGGAACUUCUAUUCGGUUAAAAAUUUCAAAAAGUUAUCUUUUUAAUCCCAAAAAAUGUAAUUGAAACAGUGGAAUCAAAUGAAAGAAUGAUGAAUCAUAGCCGGAUAAUGAGUGCCCUUUGGCAUCCAAUACCAAAACAUCUAGGCACUAACUAAUCACCAAUCAUAGACUGUACAUAAGAAGUCAACGCAGUCGUGUGGCAUCAAUCAUUGGUCUUUGGACUGCUGUUUUUAAGCCUCUAGCUUGUCAAAGAGACAUCUUGGAAUACAGCCUUCCCUAUUAUGUCUUUUUUUCCUCAGAUUAACAAACGUUACCAUAAUUGGAAUGCGGAUGAGUGACAACCGGUAUACAACUCCGGUAGUGGCAGCGACCUGUCAACCAGAAGAUAGCCCUAUUGGCAACCAGAGGAGUUGCUUCCUGCUGUUCAGUAGAGAGAAUGUAGGUUUUUUUUAAAUUCUGCAUUCCUUUGACUUGGGUUACAUUGGUCGCGACAACUGGUGUAGUUGAAAGAGUCGCUGAAAAGAGGGUUGGAUGGAUCAAAAAUUGAACAGGCCCUGCCUCCUGUAGAAAGUUUUGUUGUGUAACUUACGUACUUUACCAGACCAGUCACACAUCAAACAAAUCAAUUUCUAUGCCAAGAGCAGAACACAUGUUGGUGUAAGAAUAGUGUGACGGUGUGUGGGUUGGCCGUGUUUAAGGGUUUUCACCUGCCACAAAAAAAUGUGAUGUUAAGACCUAAAAGCUGCUCUGAUCCAUCCUAUUACCUCAAUCCUGUGUAAAAGUUACCCAGAUGAGUCGGUCUGUGAACUGAGAAUAAUUUACCAGUUGACUUCCUUUCCCCUGAUAAUUAAGUCUUUCUAACCUGGGGGGGUUGUUUACAAGCUCUCUGAAUGUCUGACAGCUUGUGUUCUUUUCCCAAUUGCACUUUUUUUUCUUUCCACCAAGUUCCUCAAUCUCAGCUGUUGCUAAUUGGAAACUGAUGGUGCAAAAUACUAAAUGAAGCCGGACUUUCUCUUUUAAAAAGGAUGAAUUAUUGGAUGAAUUCAAUUUAUUUUGCAGGGCCACUACGGGCAGCAUGACAGCAAAGAGCGAGCUUGUAUUAUAUCCUGAGCCCCUCCCUGUCCCAGGGUCUUUGGCUGCUGUGUAAUGCAUUCAGAGAUAUCACUCUAAAAUAGUUUGGGGGGUCACUGGGAGUCAGGGUAUGAGCCUUCGCAGAUUGUCAGACUCCAGCAGACUGUGAAAUGGAAUGUUACGUAUGUGUGUGUGUGUGUUUCAGUCUUUCUCUCUCUUUGUGUUUGCACUAAAGCAGGAGUUUAUUGUAGAUACUCACACCCAACCUGCUUGGAGACAGGCUGACCGCCUGGACCUGUCAUUGUGUCAAGGAAACACUUUGGCUAGUCCUUUUCUUUACUUUGCCUUCAAUUCUGUCACGUUUCCCCACUUUACCAGAUAAGGCCAUGAAUAUGGAUAUUGGUAAUUUAGUAAAAAAAAAAAAAAAAAUACCAAUGGAUUUUGCUUGUGUGAAUGUAAUCAGAAUACACAUUCCCCCAACCCAUUGAAUACGGCCGCUUGGCCCAUGGCUCCUACAAUUAUAAAGCUCUAGGUUCACAUCUAAUGUCAGUUUUUGCUCAUGCAUACACUCUUCAAAAAUAAUAUUCAAACUACUUGUUAAGAAUGGGGUUUGUGGUGCAAAUAAUAAUAAGUAUUAUUUACUACGGAAAUUGUGUAAUAGAACUCAAGUGAAUUAGAAGAACUGAACUUUGGCUUUAUCUUCUGGGUGAUAGUCCUGUGUCCCCUCAUUCACUUUUAUUCCAAUAGUAAGAUGAGAAGAUUGAUACCACUUCAUCUAAACUUUAGAUUUUGAACUGGGAGCUGACUGGAGGCAGGGAUAAAUCAACCCUAUAAACAUUAAGUUGGUAAAAUCAUCACUCACUUUGGGUAUAUUUUACCCAAUAAUGGAAGCUAAUUACCAUCAUUUUGGGAGCAGGACCAUGCCUCGACCGUUAAAACUACUUACGAUCAGCUUAUCCACCUAGUUUGCAACCUGGAUGCCACCGUGCUUUCCACCUCCGAUGAUGGAGACAACGCCACUUUGAGAGAGGACCGAACCACCCCGUAGUAGUGAUGUGUCGUUUGUGAACAAAUCCUUACAAGGACUCGGGAGCAAACCAGUUAAAGGCACAGUACACCCAAAUCACCCAGCACAAAGGCAAAGGACAUCAGCCCACCUUACCGUCCAGCACCACUCAGCAACAGUGUCCCCAUUCCCCACAUCAACACGCUCGCAUCUUUAGGAAUCAGGAAACAUUUAUUGCCAAAAUAUGUCAAACAUACAAAGAAUUUUUCUUGGUGCUUGGUGGACAGUAGACACAAAACAGACAACAAGAUAGCAGUGCACAAGUAAUAAAAUAAAAUGCUAAUGCAAUGGGUUAGUAGAAUAAGGCUAUGGGUUAGUAUAAAAUAACAAAAUAAAGUGCACUAUCGAACAAGUGACAACAAAGUGACGAAUGAAAAAUUACAGUUAAAGUGACAUGUGCAGCGGUGGAAUAUUAUAGUCAGUCAGUGGGGGAACGGGCUCUGUUGAUGAGCACCAGGACACCAGAUGGUCAGACUCCCACCUGUAGGCGGACUCAUCCCCACCAGAGAUCAGUCCAAUGAGGGUGGUGUCAUCCGCAAUCUUCAGGAGCUUGACGGACUGGUGACUGGAGGUGCAGCUGUUGGUGUACAGGGAGAAGAGCAGAGGGGAAAGAACGCAGCCUUGGGGGGAACCGGUGCUGAUGGUCCGAGAGGCUGAGACAUGUUUCCCCAGCUUCACGUGCUGCUUCCUGUCAGACAGGAAGUCUGUGAUCCACUUGCAGGUGGAGUCGGGCACGUGCAGCUGGGAGAGUUUGUCCUGCAGCAGAGACGGGAUGAUGGUGUUGAAGGCAGAGCUGAAGUCCACAAACAGGAUCCUGGCGUAGGUUCUUAGGGAGUCCAGAUGCUGGAGGAUGUAGUGGAGGGCCAUGUUGACAGUAUCGUCCACAGACCUGUUGGCUCUGUAGGCGAACUGCAGGGGGUCCAGGAGGGGGUCGGUGAGGGACUUCAGGUGGGUCAGGACUAUCCGUUCAAAAGACUUCAUGACUACAGAGGUCAGGGCGACAGGCCUGUAGUCAUUGAGUCCUGUGAUCCUGGGCAUCUUGGGAACAGGGAUGAUGGUGGAGCCCUUGAAGCAGGCUGGUACGUGGCAUGUCUCCGGGGAGGUGUUGAAGAUGUCAGUGAACACUGGAGACAGCUGGUCAGCACAAUGCUUCAGGGUGUGAGGGGAAACUAAGUCCGGCCGGCUGCCUUACGGGGAUUUUGUCUUUUAGACCCCAUGCAGACGGACUCUAGUUUGCCUGAACCCGGGUUAAUUUUUCACACCUACCCACUUUUUAAAUUGCGUGCACAUGAACCCAGUGAAUCUGAUUGACUCCGCUGUAGUACAUCCCCCACGCCUGUUGGUGGCGCUUUAAGGUGCUACAGACAACUGAAGAAAACGGAAGGAGAAGACAGGAGCAUGCGUAUAAGGCCGUUUCUCAAUACCUAAGACGGCGAGAACGGACUCGCGUUCCCGCGAGAAUAGACUCGGGACACAGACUCGGGAGACAGACUCGGGAGUCCGGACUCACGGGUACAGGAGAACGGAGAACGGACAUUUCCGCAAUUGGAACAGCAGCUGACUUGAUGACGUCACCACAGUAGGCGGUCUUUGUUUACGCACGCAAGUAUCUCAUCUGCCAUCGCAGCUUGCUGAGGUGAAAUGCAUUCUGGGAUAUAUGUCUCUCACAAGAACAGACGAGCCUGCUUCGAUGCAUGCCCGGUAAAAUGGGCGGGGCGAGUCACAUCCGGGUAUUAUGACCGUUCUCGCCCAGAUGCGGACUUGAGAAUUGGAACAGUACUCGGGCUGUGACUGAUGACGUUUCACGAGUCCACGAGAACAAAAGUCCACACAAGAACGCAUAUUGAGAAACGGCCUGAGACAUGCGCGCCGUAUACAAACGAACACAACGAACACAAACAUAACAACUAAACACAAGAACAGAAGAAGAAAGGGAAAACCUGUUCACAAGGAGUUUGAUUUAUGAAUGCAUGUCUGUGAUUUGCAUAGGUGUAUAAGAUACUUGAUUACCUAAAUUUCCCUCUGGAUUAAUAAAGUAUCUAAGUUGAGGCCUGCACAGUGCAGCAAAUCUGGCCUUGAGGCGUUCAAAAGGAUGCAGUGACCAUGCACUGCGCUUUACACCUGUUAUUUUAGUUAAUUUGUGUGUUACGUUUUUAUACUUGAUUCUUUAAUUACCACUUCUCUGUCCUAAAGGACAGUUAUAUUGCAUUUGUACAUCCAGUAAAAAAAAGGUUCUAGCAGCUGUUGCAGUCAUGUUUAUUUUCAGUGGACACAGUUCAAGUCAGUUUUUGAAGAGUGCACAAAAUGAAAAACCAUACAAUGAAAACAGUCUUUCUUAACGGUCAAGGUACUUUGUGAGCACUCUCCUCACUCUCUUACCCUCCAUCUCAUUACAGUCAGUGAGAUAGUUGUUGAUUUAUGAAGGAGGCUACGUUAUGGGCACUAUCUAUUGUUUCCAACACCGAUUGUUCACUCACAGACUCCUCACAGAAACUGUGCAAAACAAAGCAGGCGUAAUUUGACCCAGCACGAUGGGUUGGUCCAUUUUAACCCAACAGAUGAGUUAACUAUUCUACCCAAAUGCUGGGUCAAAUUAACUACAAUUCUGGGUCGUUUCAGCUACAUAUAGUUGUUAAAUAUUCCACCCAAAUGCUGGGUCAAAUUAACUACAAUUCUGGGUUAAUUCACUAUUUGUUGUCUAUAAAACUGUUCAACUACAAACCUGUAACAAAAUACAUGCUAGAUUUGAUCAUGCAGAGCACAUGUAUGUAAUUAACACAUCAUAAAACAUCCACAAUAUAAAAUGAAUUGUAAGUUUAAAUCACUAUCAACAAAAUGGGGCUGCAACUAACAAUUAUUUCCAUUAUCGAUGAAUCUGUCAAUUAUGUAAAUGAUUAAUCAAUUAGUUGUUGUGUAUAAAAUGUCAAACAUUUUUGAAAAACAACAAGAUGACAUCCUCAAAUCUCUUGUUUUGUCCACAAGCCAAAGAGACACUCAGUUUAUUGUCAUAAAGGAUUAAGAAAUCAUGCGUGCAUGCUCGCACACAUAUCUAUAUACAUACCUACACAUGUGCAAACAGUUGCUGGACCAAAAAGAAGUGUGAGCUAUAACUCACCUGUUUACAUAACAACAAACGGUUAACAGGUGUCCAUUUUUCAUAACCAGCUGCCCUUGAGGCACAGAGACAACUAAUACGCACGCCCUGUCGACUGACCGUUUGCCCGACUACUAGCCUUUUUGGCCUGAAUAAUACAUUUCCCCAAUUACUACACCGACCCCGAAGUUGUAAACUUAGGGGAAGCACUGAUUACAUUCUACGUGCUGCUCAUAUUGCCAGGCAUCGUAACACUGUCGCUGACUCCCUUUGUUGUUUUUCAUUUCAGAAAUUUUGAAGCUUGGCCCCUCUUGCAGACAUGGCCCUCGUCGCCUCCCAGUCACCUUUUGACCUCCCGUACCAUCCUUAUCCGUUCCAGAUACAGCAACCCGCACAUUGCCCUGAUCUUGGAAGCCAUGUUCUCCCUGGCCUAUUUCGGAUUCCUCAGAUGCUCAGAAUUUACCCCUUCAACCCUCACCUUCAAUGCAGGCCACCAUGCUUGCAUAUCCGACUUAUCCAGUCUUUCGGAAGACACCGUGACCUUCUACUUAAAGCAAACGAAAAGCAACCAGGCCGACCGACACCUGUCUUUUACUUCAAGAUAGUCACCCUUGAGUCCAUUCGAAACCCUAUCCACAUAGCUGUGACAAUCCCAAAGCCCAUCACCAGCAGACCCACUCUUCAUCUCAGAGUCGAAGUUGCCACCAGAUUCUGGUUCCACAAGCACUUCUGCCACAUUCUCUCCUUGCCCAGCAUUUCCCCCAUUUUGUAUUCUGGUCACUCCUUUAGAAUCGGCGCUGCUACCACAGCCUCCCGCACUGGCAGCCCAGAACACCUCAUGCAAAUCACGGGACGCUGCUCCUCACAAGCCUACCAACGUUACAUCCGUUCGGAUCUCAAGGUUCUUCAAGCCGCUCAGUCACACCUCACGUAAUGGGAGUCUUGUGGUUCCUUCGAAGUAGCGCCCCACAAACCCAUCUGAUCGACCAGUCAAAACGUCUUUGCUAGACCCCCUGUUGAAGACCUAUGUAGGCUAUUGGGCUAACAAUGUAAUGUUAGUUGGCUAACUAGUAGCAGCGCAAUAGAGGAUAUUAACGUUAGCUAACUAACGCUCUAGUUACCGUUAGAAAACAUCCGAAAUGAAAGUUUCAAAAAUCUAAUAUUACCACAAACUGAUACCUUUUAACAUUAACAAAAUGAGGUCCAGCCAAGUUACAGGCACCAAUUAAGGUGCUGGCAGCUAACACAGAUCCUGGCACGGAGGUGUUUUUUCCCCAUCUUCCACCAUUAAUUAACAACCCUUUUAAGAACCAUCGAAUAGAUAUGGUUCUUUAGAAGGUGGCGGUUCUUUGUCGAACCACAUUGCCUUCAAAAGAACCAUUGGGUAGAGCUGGUGCGCUGGGAACCGCAAGGUUGGCCGGCUGCUCCCUGUCCCAUGUCGAGGUGUCCUCGAGCAAAAAUGUAAAUAGCUAAGUUGUUGUAAGUUGCUUUGGAUAAAAGCGUCAAGAUAAAUUACCUGUAAUAUAAUU